GUUUCUUUUUGUCACCAGAAGCUUCACUGGGAUCAGCUUCAUCUGGUUGGUUUUUGGGCAGAAGUUACUGAGAGUGGGAGAACUCAGAUCAAACGUUUCCUGAAGUGUGGUAGAAGGCAGGAAGAAUGACACUUGCUAAUUUGAAUUUCAGAAAGCACCUAAACUUCAUUCUGAUCUCCAGGAUGUAUAAAGUGGAAUGUUGCUCAGGAAUGGACAAAAACCAGACAAACUAUUGGAAAAAAUGUCAAAAGGAAAGGAAAUGGCCUUCUGGAGGAUGAGGAAGAUGAGCAACAAAGAGACUGUCCAACAAUGUGAAAGAUCCAG
rnacentral:lncRNA from 1 species